rnacentral:rRNA from 1 species
UACGGAGGGGGUUAGCGUUGUUCGGAAUGACUGGGCGUAAAGCGCGCGUAGGCGGGCAUUUAAGUCGGGGGUGAAAUCCCGGGGCUCAACCCCGGAAUGGCCUUCGAUACUGGGUGCCUAGAGUUCGAGAGAGGUGAGUGGAAUUCCGGGUGUAGAGGUGAAAUUCGUAGAUAUUCGGAGGAACACCAGUGGCGAAGGCGGCGAUCUGGGUCGAUACUGACGCUGAGGUGCGAAAGCGUGGGGAGCAAACAGG